rnacentral:rRNA from 1 species
CCUACGGGCGGCAGCAGUGAGGAAUAUUGGUCAAUGGACGCAAGUCUGAACCAGCCAUGCAGCGUGCAGGAAGACGGCUCUAUGGGUUGUAAACUGCUUUUGUACAGGGGUAAACGCAGGUACGCGUAUCUUUCUGAAAGUAUCUUACGAAUAAGGAUCGGCUAACUCCGUGCCAGCAGCCGCGGUAAUACGGAGGAUUCAAGCGUUAUCCGGAUUUAUUGGGUUUAAAGGGUGCGUAGGCGGGUGGAUAAGUUAGAGGUGAAAUUCCGAGGCUCAACUGCGGAAUUGCCUCUGAUACUGGUCGGCUAGAGAGUAGUUGCGGUAGGCGGAAUGCAUGGUGUAGCGGUGAAAUGCUUAGAGAUCAUACAGAACACCGAUUGCGAAGGCAGCUUACUAAGCUACCUCUGACGUUGAGGCACGAAAGUGUGGGUAGCAAACAGGAUUAGAUACCCGAGUAGUC